GAGGGUAUAGCUCAGUGGUAGAGCUCAUGCUUAGCAUGCAGGAGGUCCUGGGUUCAACCCCAAGUACCUCCA
rnacentral:tRNA from 1 species